UUUUUUUGAUGACUGGUUGUCAUUUUAAAGAUAAUUUCAAAAUGUCAUUUCCUAGUUUUAACAACCAAAAUCAAGCACCAUAGACAGGAACAGGUAGUAAUCACUUGGUGGUAUUGAGAAAAAAAUAUAAAUUUCAAGAGACAUAGUUGUAUUUGAAGUUUAAAACAAAAUGUCACAAACUUAUAAAGCUGAAUUCGUUGUUUCAAUUAUAGGGGAAAUUAUUAAGUAAGAGGCAAUUGGAUUUGGAUGAAAGUCAGAAUAUUAAUGUAUUACACACAAAAACUCAAAAUGUAAUUAAAUGGAGAAAACCACCAAAAACAAAUCAGAAAUUUUAAAUUGAAUAUUAUAUUGUGUUCGAAGGCGAUAAAGUGGAAAACAAAGUGGAAAAUAUCAUAAAGGGCGGGUCUAAAACUUAAACUUUAGCCAAAGUCUUGUAACGCACACAAACGCAUACAUACAAACAUAUAUGUUGAGGUAUUCAAAAGUGUCGCACAAAACUGCUAAUAUUCGCACUCGCUCUGUCAUUUGAAUGUUUUAUUGAGCAGCCGCAGCCACAGUGCCAGCCGCAGGAACUUGCAACAGCUGUCCGAAAAUAUAUCACUUUUUUGCGUCGAUUUGUUAUGGAAACAAAGUUGGCGUGUGCUUACGCACACAGAUAAAGGCAAAUAAGCAAUUUAUAGGCAAUAUGCUUGAAUUGGAAUUUCUAAUAGAGAUAAAAUCUCAAAUAUUGAAAUAAUAGUGUUUAUUAUUGCACUCAAGAUAAAGAAGUACUAUCCAAGAGUUUUCCCACAGCGAAAAAGCUCCUCAAAAAGGUUCAAAAUAGACCAACCAUCCUCAAAACUAAGGUUAAAUGUUUCCAUUAUUUUCUGCUUGUUACUAUUUAAUUACAAGUACUUAAGAAAUAAGGAAAACAGUAAAAGAAAUCGGAGCUCAUAACGGAUUUCUGUGCGAAAAGCUAAAUACGAUAAAAUAAAUUAUGUAGAAUUGCUAAAAAAGUCCCAGCAAAGUAAAAAAUGGUAAACUUCGGCGAAAUGCCCAGAAUUUCGAUUGCAACUUGGACUAAAUUUAAUGAGGCAACUUUGUAACAAAAUCAUUAAAUAAUUGUAGAAAUAUGCAGCGGCGUGCAACAGAAAUACCAUACAAUAGUAUAGUAAAUUAAAAAAUAGAAUUAAGAAAAACACAAAAAAUUAAACAAAUAACAAAAACCAAAACCAAAAAACACCGCAGGAAAGGAUACAAAGGAAUAUUUCCACUUCUAAGGAAGUGCGUGCUGGUGGCAUUUGAAAGCAGCGAGAGAAAAUGAAAGAGGCACAACAACAAAGUUGUUGUUGAAACAACUACAAAAGUAUGCUUGAAAAACACCGAAAGUCACGAAAGGCCUUGAACAUUUGCGCUGACGGAAAACAAUGUAUGAAAAAAGCAUAAAAAACUAUGAUGAAAAUGGCGAAUUAAAUACACAAAAAUCAAAGUCAAGAAGAAAUAUAUUCCAAAAUCAAAUAACCCACCAAAACCGUGACCUCAGCCAAGCAUAACAUACAAUUUAGCCUCAAACUAGAAAAUGCUAAACGCCCCCCUACUUCACUUACUAAAAUAGCAUUCGCUGAACAUCGCAGAGCUCAAAACUUGGGCCAUUAUUCAAACAGCCAAGCGUGAGUUCAACCAAUUGUAGAGUAAGAAUUGACAGUUACAUUGCCGAGGAGAGCCGAGGACGAGACACUGCUUGCCUCUUGGACUCUUUGUAGAAGUCGGUAUUUACUGAAUCGCUAAUAUUUUUAAAGAUAUAAUAGAAGAAGCAAAAAAAAGAAUCAACUAAAAGAACAAGUGUAAUAUAGGAAGAGAAUGCCAAAAUUGACAGAAAGGGAAGUUAAGAGUGGAGGUGCUUUGAGCUAAUAAAUUUUAGAUAAGCUAAACAGAGGCUAUUGGUGAUAUGAUAUAAUCAAUGGGCUUGACUCAGGCUUGAAAGCAAUGGUAAGGUAGGUGCUUUCUAACCAGAUAAUUGAUCUAGCUUUAUAUACUAUUUGGCGUACUCUGUUGCUUGCACUGGUACUGGGCCGCUGUCAGAGAUAACUCCAAAGUUCAUUAUAAUAUUGGUAAAAAAUGUUGUAUAAAUAAAUGCGGCGCCGCCGGCUAAUUAAACAAAACUUUAAAUCAUUCACAUGCACGCACAAACUCCCUCAUAUACACAAAUAUGUUAACAUGUGUAUGUCUUCAUUUGAAAUGCACUUGAAUGCGAGUGGCGAGCAGUCGGUCAUUGCGGCUUCCCUUUGUUUUGCUGUUGACAUUUCUUUGUAUCACAGUGUAAGCACAUGUCAGUGAAAUGGACAAACAAGUAGGCAGACAGAUAGACAGAUGGACGGGUAUGCAGAGAUAUAUAGGAGGAGAGACAUGCGGUCUGUGAGUUGGUAAUAAUGCAAGAGCAAGUGGUGAUUAAAGUGCAAUGGUUACUUUAGUAAAAAGAGAAAACUCAAAAAAAGAAAUUACAACAAUACCAACAAACAAUACAAGUUUUAAUACAAUAGCAAUAAUGUGCCAGCCGCCAUCUAUUGUGCGGCGGUUAUCGCUUGUGACCUCCCAGUCAUUUAUUAACGCAGUCACGUGUUUUUGCAGCAUAUUACAAAUAAAAUGGAUGUGAGAUUUCAGUACUUUUCGUAUAUACUGUAUAGUUUUUUAAAUGCUGUUUACAUAUCUGAAAGGCUGCAACGAGGUAAAUUGUUACAUGUUAUCA